rnacentral:rRNA from 1 species
GGGUCAGUAGGUUGGUCGUGCCACCGGUACGUACUGGUCUCACUGAUUCCUCCUUCCCGAAGAACCGUAAUGCCAUUAAUUUGGUGUUGCGUGGAAACAGGACUGUUACUUUGAAAAAAUUAGAGUGUUUAAAGCAAGCUAACGCUUGAAUACAUUAGCAUGGAAUAAUGAAAUAGGACGAUCGAUCCUAUUUUGUUGGUUUCUAGGAUUGACGUA